rnacentral:rRNA from 1 species
GACGAACGCUGGCGGCGUGCCUAACACAUGCAAGUCGAACGGGGUUAUUAUGGAAGAUCCUUCGGGGUUGGAAGUAAUAACUUAGUGGCGAACGGGUGAGUAACGCGUGAGGAACCUGCCUUUCAGUGGGGGACAACAGUUGGAAACGACUGCUAAUACCGCAUAAUGUAUUCGAGCGGCAUCGCUUGGAUACCAAAGCUUUAUGUGCUGAAAGAUGGCCUCGCGUCUGAUUAGCUAGUUGGAGGGGUAACGGCCCACCAAGGCGACGAUCAGUAGCCGGUCUGAGAGGAUGAACGGCCACAUUGGGACUGAGAUACGGCCCAGACUCCUACGGGAGGCAGCAGUGGGGAAUAUUGGGCAAUGGGGGAAACCCUGACCCAGCAACGCCGCGUGAAGGAAGAAGGCUUUCGGGUUGUAAACGUUCUUUUACCAGGGACGAAGGACGUGACGGUACCUGGAGAAAAAGCAACGGCUAACUACGUG